AACCAUAGAAACCUGCGGAGUACCUGCGGAGGGAUCAUUACCGAGUGCGGGUCCGCGUGGCCCAACCUCCCACCCGUGCCUAUUGUACCCUGUUGCUUCGGCGGGCCCGCCAGCCUUCGGGCUGGCCGCCGGGGGGCGUCUCGCCCCCGGGCCCGUGCCCGCCGGAGACCCCAACAUGAACCCUGUUCCGAAAGCUUGGUGUCUGAGUGUGAUUGUUUGCAAUCAGUUAAAACUUUUAAC
rnacentral:misc_RNA from 1 species